rnacentral:rRNA from 1 species
GACGAACGCUGGCGGCGUGCUUAACACAUGCAAGUCGAGCGGUAAGGCUCCUUCGGGGGUACACGAGCGGCGAACGGGUGAGUAGCACGUGAGUAAUCUGCCCUUCACUUCGGGAUAACCAUCGGAAACGGUGGCUAAUACCGGAUAUGACUCGUCCCUGCAUGGGGGUGGGUGGAAAGUUUUUUCGGUGGAGGAUGUGCUCGCGGCCUAUCAGCUUGUUGGUGAGGUAACGGCUCACCAAGGCUUCGACGGGUAGCCGGCCUGAGAGGGUGACCGGCCACACUGGGACUGAGACACGGCCCAGACUCCUACGGGAGGCAGCAGUGGGGAAUAUUGGACAAUGGGCGGAAGCCUGAUCCAGCAACGCCGCGUGAGGGAUGACGGCCUUCGGGUUGUAAACCUCUUUCAGCUCCGACGAAGCGCCCGUGAGGGUGGUGACGGUAGGUGCAGAAGAAGGACCGGCCAACUACGUGCCAGCCGCCGCAGUAAGAC